rnacentral:rRNA from 1 species
ACUACGGGUGGCUGCAGUAGGGAAUAUUGCACAAUGGGGGAAACCCUGAUGCAGCGACGCCGCGUGAGUGAAGAAGUAAUUCGUUAUGUAAAGCUCUAUCAGCAGGGAAGAAAAUGACGGUACCUGAGUAAGAAGCACCGGCUAACUACGUGCCAGCAGCCGCGGUAAUACGUAGGGUGCAAGCGUUAUCCGGAUUUACUGGGUGUAAAGGGCGAGUGGACGGGAUUGCAAGUCUGGAGGGAAAGGCGGGGGCUCAACCGUCGGAGUGCUUUGGAAACUGUAAGGCUGGAGUGCGGGAGAGGUAAGUGGAAUUCCUGGUGUAGCGGUGAAAUGCGUAGAGAUUAGGAGGAAAACCAGUGGCGAAGGCGACUUACUGGACUGUAACUGACGUUGAGGCGCGAAAGCGUGGGGAGCAAACAGGAUUAGAUACCCGAGUAGUC